rnacentral:rRNA from 1 species
UACGUAGGGGGCAAGCGUUGUCCGGAAUCAUUGGGCGUAAAGAGCGUGUAGGCGGCCUGGUAAGUCCGCUGUGAAAGUCCAGGGCUCAACCCUGGAAUGCCGGUGGAAACUGUCAGGCUCGAGUCCGGAAGAGGCGAGUGGAAUUCCCGGUGUAGCGGUGAAAUGCGCAGAUAUCGGGAGGAACACCAAUGGCGAAGGCAGCUCGCUGGGACGUUACUGACGCUGAGACGCGAAAGCGCGGGGAGCGAACAGG